rnacentral:rRNA from 1 species
UACGAAGGGGGCUAGCGUUGUUCGGAAUUACUGGGCGUAAAGCGUGCGCAGGCGGUUUGGUAAGUCAGAUGUGAAAUCCCCGGGCUCAACCUGGGAAUUGCAUUUGAGACUGCACGGCUAGAGUGUGUCAGAGGGGGGUAGAAUUCCACGUGUAGCAGUGAAAUGCGUAGAGAUGUGGAGGAAUACCGAUGGCGAAGGCAGCCCCCUGGGAUAACACUGACGCUCAUGCACGAAAGCGUGGGGAGCAAACAGG